GUGUCAGCAGCCGCGGUAAUACGGAGGAUCCGAGCGUUAUCCGGAUUUAUUGGGUUUAAAGGGUGCUUAGGCGGCAUUUUAAGUCAGUGGUGAAAUUUAUAGGCUCAACCUAUAGCUUGCCAUUGAUACUGGGGUGCUUGAAUAGGUUCGAGGAUGGCGGAAUGUGACGAGUAGCGGUGAAAUGCAUAGAUAUGUCACAGAACACCGAUUGCGUAGGCAGCUAUCCAGGUCUUUAUUGACGCUGAAUCACGAAAGCGUGGGGAUCAAACAGGAUUAGAUACCCUGGUAGUCCACGCCGUAAACUAUGAUAACUCGAUGUUGGCGAUAUAUUGUCAGUGUCCAAGCGAAAGCGUUAAGUUAUCCACCUGGGGAGUACGUUCGCAAGAAUGAA
rnacentral:rRNA from 1 species